CAGCCGCCGCGGGAAAACAGAGGGUGCAAGCGUUAAUCGGAAUUACUGGGCGUAAAGCGCGCGUAGGUGGUUUGUUAAGUUGGAUGUGAAAUCCCCGGGCUCAACCUGGGAACUGCAUCCAAAACUGGCAAGCUAGAGUAUGGUAGAGGGUGGUGGAAUUUCCUGUGUAGCGGUGAAAUGCGUAGAUAUAGGAAGGAACACCAGUGGCGAAGGCGACCACCUGGACUGAUACUGACACUGAGGUGCGAAAGCGUGGGGAGCAAACAGGAUUAGAGACCCCUGUAGUCCCUGUCUCUUAUAC
rnacentral:rRNA from 1 species